UUUGUUUUUGUUUAACUCUGUAGCUUCUUCCCAAGAUGCCUUGGGGCACAUCUGGAGAAAAUGGGCCACACUUUUGGCUAAGCAAAGUCUGGUCCUGAGAGGCAGCUUCUAAACGCUCUUAGAGUCCCUCAGUGGCCAGGCCCAGGGACGGCAGAGUGUGGGAGCCAGGAUUUGGCUGCUGGCUGUCUCUAACUGGCUCCGUGACUGUGGUGUGUCACAUCCUUCCUGGAGUCUCAGUUUUCUCAUCUCUGCAAAGGAAGGCGAGAGAGACACAGUUGUGUGUUUUAGCUGGAAAUGAAGCCACUGCUUCCCCAGGGUAGAGAGGCAAAAAGAAAACGAGGAGAUAAGCCUGCCUCAGCCUAUUUCCAGGACAGGACCGGAUGCCAUGAUCCAAGCCGAGAGGGCGCUUCCUGGUGGCUUUCAAUGGCUGCACAUUGGCUCAGAUCAGUCAGUGCCCCUGAGCACCCGCAGCCCUUCCGUAUGCUGGAGACGGAGAAAAGCGAGACAGACGCCAUCCACCCUCCUGGAGCUGGUGUACAGGGGGACCAGCACUUAGACGACCACCAAGAUGCCUUAGAGCGAAGGGGCAGGAGAAAGCCAAGGCCGGAGAGGGUCACGGCUUCCAGUUUGCUCAGAGAGGCCAGGAUGGCAUCACCUAGAAGAAGCUCCAUCAGGGGGGUGUCGUGCUUCAAUGUCCCCCCAGAAGCCUGCUGCUGAAGUGCUUGGGGCCCUUGUCUUAGAUGACCAUUUGUCACCUUACACUGGCCAUGUGUCCGUCAGGUAUGUGCAUCCAUCCCCCAGCCUGGGAGAAGAGCCUGAAGCCUGGUUUCAUCUUCUUCUCAUCCUGCAUGGUAACCCGUGUCACCCCCUUGACGAACUAACGGCCAUCAACCAGCGCAGUGCUCAACUCAUGGUUAAAAAAGAGAAUGAAACUGACACUUGGCAGAGAAGCAGAGCAAUGUUUUGAUUCUCUCCUCCUGCUUAAUAGCUAUGCACCCCUGGGCAAGUCCUUAACCUCUUUGCUUUGUUUUAUCUCUGUAAACUGGCGUGAGAGCUAUGAGCUCAUGAGAGGGCUGCUGGAGACAGAGACGGCACACACUGCUGUGACCUUUGCAGUCAGCUCCUUCUGCUCUUCAUGGUGCAUGGUAGGACCCCCAGAUAGUGGUGGCUUGGUUGCAGGUGGGCUAUGAGGAAAUGGCUGGAUCAUGGCGAUGCUAAUAUCACCAUCAAAUCAUUACUGGGAAGUGGUGGAAACAGGAGGUGGGGCCUUAUUGAAAGGACUGGGUCAUGGGGGUUGACUUUGGAGACCAAAUCCGAUCCCUUGCCCUUCCUCCUUGGCUCUUUCUUUCUGUCCCUUGCUUCCUACUGCCAUGACAUGCGCAGUCUUGCUAUUUUAUUGCCUCCCACUGUGUCAUUCAGCUUCUCUGUAGCAAUGAAGCUGGUUGACCUUGGACUGGAAUCUCUGAAACCAGGAACCAAAGUGCUCUCCUCCUCUAAAUUCUUUACCUCAGGCAUUUUGUCACAGUGACUGAAAGCUGAAGAAUGCACCUGCCACAUAGACCUAUAAGGUCAGUAUUCCACUCUCCUUUCACAAUAUUCCAAGGAAGUAGUUUUGGCCACCCUGAGUUUUCCUGUUCAGAGAUGAUGUAAAAUGUCGCCUGUUCUGUCUUUCUGCUUAGGACACUCCUGGUUGACUUUAUGUCAAGGGCAAGAGAGGCCCUCUAGUGAGACUGAAGAGUGGUUUCCACAACUCAGAGAAAACCUAGAGUGUGCAACAUGGGGACAGAUGUGUACACACUGUCUCUUGAGUAACUUUUAUGAUGCCCACAGAGCAGAUGAGACUGUUUCUUGGAUCCUAAGGGGUCACAGAGGAAAGCUGAAAGCUGUGUGUUUAGUGCAUCCCUCUCCCUUUGGGAGUGCUAUGCCAGGUGCCUCCCAGGCUGCUUCCUUCCCACAGCGACUCCCUGGCAGGGAAAGGCAGGUGGAGUGGGGAUGUCACAUGUCAGGGCCCUGAGGUUUAAUUACACUCUGCUCAUGUUGCUGUGUUGUGGGGGCCAUUUCCACAUCAAAGGCUCCUCCCUGUGAUGUGUGUCUUAUAUCCAUGUCUGAGGGUCGGGUGCAGGGAUGGAUGUGGGAUAGUUGCUCUUCUAUGUAAUAUCUAGAGGUUCAUGGCAGGGAUUCACCACCCCCCAUGGGGUGUCUUGUCCUCCCAGGAGGUAUAUCAAUGGGGACACUGCUUUCACACAGUGCUGGCCUCCUGUAGGACUGUUCCCACAGGACCCCUAGGACUUUUGGAAAUCCAGGAUGUAGGAGCCACUUUGCCCCAGCUACUUUGCCCAGGUGAAGCACCUCGUGGAAUUCUGAGUUGGAAGAGCUGGUCAUGAGAAUGGGGAAGGAGCAGGGAGCUGGGGAAGUCUACUGAUGAGCCAGGGAGAUGGCUGACCUUUCACAUUUCCUGCUCAGUGAGGAGAAGACAUUUUUCCAAAUGUGACUCUGGAUCAAGCCCAGGCAGAAUGAUUGGUGUCAAGAUAAAAAGCCCAGACCAUCAUCCCGGUAGCAGACUCCUGGUUCUUCCAUAGUUCAUUGCAAGGCCUUAGGCCUGUCUUGUCCCCUUCAGAGCCUCUUUUUCUCAGCACAGUGGGAAGCAGCAUCCGCUUCAUCCACUUAUCUACUGGUUACUUGUGAGUGUCUGUGGGCCAGGUCAGGGGCCAGGUGCUGAGGCAGAAAAUGAGUCUUGGCCCAGAGUAGUAGCUCAGUGUUGGGGGAAUCAGGCCAGUACCUCCAUAAUGAGUGGUGGAAGAGUGAAGGGGGAGUCUCACUCAGAUGUAUGGGAACAAAAAGAGCCCUGUGAAGAGCUGAAAUGUGGCCCUCAAAAGACAUGUCCAGAUUAUAAUCCACAUCACCAUGCAUGUAACUUGUUUGGAAAGAGAGUUUUUGCAGAUGCAAUUAACUUAACUUGAGACGAGGUCAUUCUAGAUGAUCCAGAUGGGUCCUAAAUCCAAUGAUUAAUGUCCUUAUGAGAGACAGAAGAAAGAAGAUACAGCCAAAGGGAGAGAAUUAAUAGGUGAGGGCAGGGGUAGACAUUGGAAUGAUGUGUUUCCAAGCCAACGAAUACCAGAAAUCACUAGAAGCAUGGAGAAAAGCCUGGCGUGGACUCGUUCCCACAUCUGUUAGAAGGAACCAACAUGGCCAGCACCUCGCUCUCAGACUUUAUGUUGUCUUGGAAGUCUUCUGAAUGAGAUGACCUUGGGAAUGAACCUCCAUGUUCAAGUGGGAGAUCAUGGGGAAAAGGGAGGGAGGUAUUCAGGAAGAAGGACCACAGGUGAGGAGGGAUAGACAGGCAAAGUGUGAGCAGGGGUCCACAUGGGGCCCAAAAGGGCUGGACUUGGGGGACCAGAGAAGACUGAUAUCAAAGACAGCCUUUGCGUCCAAGAUGGUGGUCUGCUUUCCAGGAAGAAUUUAGAUAUUGUUGCCUGGGACACAAGGGUCCAUUUAAAUAACUCAGCAAGGGCAUGCCCCAGCUAGUGUGUUUGUAAUAGCCUCUUAGUGACCCAAGAGAAGGAAGGGUCAGGAGCUCAACAUCAGAGCAUGGGAGCUCAAUGGCAGCCUGGAUGGUGGGGCUGAGCUGGAAAGGGUCCAGACAGUCACAUGGCCCAGAGGACUAGGGGACAAAUAGAGAGAAUGUGCCAUCAACAAAAUUAAGGCUUCCUGUUGUGGAAACUCCAUGAGAGCCACCCAGCUGGGAGGCUGGGUGAUGGCAUUUCCUGAGAAAUGGAGAAAGUGAGGCUUCCAAAGUCUGGGAUGACUUUGGUUUGGGGACAUAUUACACCUUGAUGGGGUUACUAAAAGGAUCAGCUGAGUAUAACUCAGUGCAAUGUGCCCAAUACAGGCAGUGACUGAGAGGAGACGCUCUAUUUUUGUGAGGUUGCUGGAAAAAGAGUCCCAAAGGAGGGAGAGGAUCUGUGUCUGCCAAGCUAGAGACAGAAGGUGCUCCCUGUGGGCUACAUCACAAACACUGGGUGCCAGACCACAUCAACCCAACCCACUUCACAGCAAGCGAUUCAUGUCCCAGAUCUCAGCACCCUCUGCCAGUCCCAGCAAAAUCAGUGCAUCCUGUGCCAGCUGUGGAAAUUGGAAGCAGUCAGGAAGCUUGGACAAAGAGUCCACUGCUCAGCACUUUCUGCAUCUGGGAAGAAAAGCAGGUGUGGGGGAGGCUGCCUGGGGCGGAGAGGCCAUCAGAAGGUUGCGAGGCCAUAAAUAAGAGAUUUGUGGUAAAUAAUCUGGUGAACACAUCCGCUGGCUGCUCUUUUUUAUCACUCACCUAGAGAGCAAAAUUCCCCCACAUCUUUUCUGCAGGCCAAUAAAUAUCCUUUGAGGAGCCUGUAUUUCCAUAGCAAGCAAGGAGGUUGCUACUGCUCCCCAGGCCUUGCGUCAAGGAGGAACAAUAUAUGGCCCUAAAGAGAAGGGCUGCAGGAGAAUCAAUGCAAAUGCAGUUGCUUUUCCCAGCGUGAUGCUGCUGAGCAGAGUUCAGCCCAAGUUCAAGGACUGCACUUGGAUGGUGGAGCAGGGCCCCUUCUGCCAGGGAGGAGACUCUCAAUGCUGGGUCCCCUGCACAUGCUUUCUGUUCUGGGCCUCUGCUCACAGAACUCUUCCCCCAAAUAAGAGAGACCUGCAAGAUAUACUAGGGAGCCUCUAGAGAAAGCACUAGGUAUCAUUUCCACUAAAGGAUUCUCCAAGGGCCUCCUGUGUGUCAGGUAAGUAGAAACAAUGGCCCAGGAGCUCCAGCCCUCCUGGAAUGCAAGUAGCUGCAAUCAGGCAGCCUUGCCAGUAGCAAGGAAGACUGGGCAGUGGACUGACAGAUAAGCUGAGAUGCCUGGAAGAGCUGAGAGCACAGGCUGCUUAGGGAGCCCAGGUGAGAACACAGGAAGCAGGAUGCUGGGAGGAGGCAGAUGAUGAACAUCCUUACCAGUCAGAGCACAGCCAGGGAGAAGAAAACUGAUGGGAGAGAAAUCAGGUGACUUUCUGGGGUGUGGAUCCCUGUCUCCUCCAGCCUUUGGAGACUCUGUCCUUUGGGCACUGAGAAUCACUUCCAGGUCUUAAAUGGUGAUGGGUGGACAUCCCAGCAGGUUCUCAAAGCAUUUUCUCAUGACCAUAAAAGUUGGAAGAGGCUGCUUCAUUCUACAAUAGUAUCUGGCAUGAAUAAGUGCUUAGUAAGGUCCCCAUGGAGCAACCCUCUGAGGGGAAUGAUCCAGAAAACACAUGCCAUAGGUGUUACUUUGUGCUCUCCCUCACAGAUGUAGAGCAGGCUGUUCUGAAAGUCAAAUUCAUGGUGGCUGAUCUGGAUUUGAAAUUCAAGUGCAAUCAUUCCCUUAUCUGUGGGCUCAUUGCCCAUAGUUUUAGUUGCAUGUGAUCAAUUGAAUCUGAAAAUGUUAAAUAAAAAUUUCCAGAAAGAACCACUCAUAGGCUUUAAACUGUACACCAUUCUGAGUGGUGCAAUGAAAUCUUGAGAUGCCCAUCUGGGACUUAUCCAGGAACCGAGCACCCUGUGUCUGCUGCAUCCACACUGUAUAUGCUACCCUCCCAUAGGGUCACUUACUCUACCCAAGAGUCUAAGGUAUUAGACUGUCCUGGUAUCAAGCACUGUUCUCAUGUUCAAUAGCACAAUAAGAUAUUUUGAAAGAGAGAAUGAGAAAGACCUCAUUCACAUAAUUUUAUUAUAAUAUGUUAAUUAUCCCAUUUUAUUAUUAGCCUUUGUUGUUAAUCUUAUUGUGCCUAAUUUAUAAAUUAAACUUCACCAGUAGUAUGUAUGUAGAAAGAAAAAAGCAAUAGACACAGGGGAAGGUAUUAUCUUUGGUUUCAAGCAUCAGUGGGAGGUCUUGGAACUUGUCUCCUGGGGAUAAGUGGGGACUGCUGACUCUGUUGGAAAUAGUCCAUGGUGAUGCAUUUUAGAAAGGGACGUGGAGAUAAUGUAGGGACCAUGUCAGAGAAGCAAAGAGGAGAGGAAAGAAGAGCAAAAAGGACAAAGCAUUGAUUGGAGAGUGAGUGUCUCAUCCUUUAUCCUGCAUGCUGCAGGUGUAAUUUAUGGCUCCAAGUGUCAUCACAGAGGAGUAGCAUCUUUCAAACACCAUGAACACAUGCUUUGAACAUGCACACAUUUGCAUUUGACCACAGUACAUUGUUUUCCUUUAUAAAGAAUGAAGGAAACUGCUUACAGGACAUCUGGCUUUUUUCCUCCCCCAAGCCCAGAUGUGAUAGACAAGAGAGGCGAAUCAGUGGCCUCUGCCUGCCUGGAGCAUUUAACUGGCCCUUCCUAGAUGGGUAUAUGAUUGUCCCUCUAUACUUGGUUGAGACCCUAGAAGCUGUUAUGUGCUAUCUAUAUCCUGUGGCAUUCUGGAGUCUCAGCAAUUGGAGAGGGAACUUCUUUGCCCACUGCCUCCUAAGCAUACUUCCGGAGUGGUGAAAGAGUGGUAGUGGCUGGGCGGAGAUGGUGUUUUACCAUUGGCUGUGGCCAAUGACAAUCACUGUGCCACAUUUCCUGGUGUACGCUUAUUGGUGAGACCUUGGAGGGGAUGUCUUUGUAACUCUGAUCCCAUAGAAAAGCUCUAAUGGACAUUGAUGCCAGCUCAGAGCAGGCCCUGUUCCAGCCAUGGCAAUGCAGGGAUUUUGCCUGCAGAGCAGGCAGUGUUCUUCAGAUGUUUGCAUCCCAGCUUCAAGAGGAAGGAAGUAGGAUAUCCCAUUUUGAGCCUUCUGGCCUAAGUGUUGUUUCUCAGCCCUGCAUUUAGAGAAGAGCAAUGCAGUGGUGAGAGAGAGGUAUCCCCAUCAGAUAGGGGUAAACAUGUCCCCUAUCCUGCUGCUGGCCCUUAGGCUCUAUAUGCAAGCCA